rnacentral:misc_RNA from 1 species
CAGAGUUAUCUAACUCCCAAACCCAUGUGAACUUACCAUUUGUUGCCUCGGCAGAGCCUACCCGGUACCUACCCUGUAGCGCACCCUGCCGGUGGACCUUUAAACUCUUGUUAUUUUAUAGUAAUCUGAGCGUCUUAUUUUAAUAAGUCA